GGAGAUAUAGAUUAAAUGGAAAAUCACUUGGCUACGAACCAAGAGAGUGAAGGUUCAAAUCCUUCUGUCUCCUC
rnacentral:tRNA from 1 species